rnacentral:sRNA from 1 species
AGCGCCACCGGAUCUACGCCUCGCGUGACGAUGAGGUAGUCGCGUAUUGCGAUGCUGUGCCGCGCCUC